GAUGAACGCUGGCGGCGUGCCUAAUACAUGCAAGUCGAGCGAACAGACGAGGAGCUUGCUCCUCUGACGUUAGCGGCGGACGGGUGAGUAACACGUGGAUAACCUACCUAUAAGACUGGGAUAACUUCGGGAAACCGGAGCUAAUACCGGAUAAUAUAUUCAACCGCAUGGUUCAAUAGUGAAAGACGGUUUUGCUGUCACUUAUAGAUGGAUCCGCGCCGCAUUAGCUAGUUGGUAAGGUAACGGCUUACCAAGGCAACGAUGCGUAGCCGACCUGAGAGGGUGAUCGCCCACACGGGAACUUAGACACGGUCCAGACUCCUACGGGAGGCAGCAGUAGGGAAUGUUCCGCAAUGGGCGAAAGCCUGACGGAGCAACGCCGCGUGAGUUAUGAAGGUCUUCGGAUCGUAAAACCCUGUUAUUAGGGAAGAACAAAUGUGUAAGUAACUAUGCACGUCUUGACGGUACCUAAUCAGAAAGCCACGGCUAACUACGUG
rnacentral:rRNA from 1 species